ACAGAAAAAGAUUUCCUAUUCGGAUAUGCGACAAGAUAGUAGUGCUCACGACUGAGUGGCUAGAUCUAUUCUACAUACAUUAAUUAAUUUAUUUCAAUACC
rnacentral:lncRNA from 1 species